UUGCCUGUUUUGGCACUAGCACAUUUUUGCUUUUUUAUAUAUACGCUGAGCAAUCAUGUGUAGUGCCAAUAUGGGACA
ncrna:Cyprinus carpio (common carp) microRNA ccr-mir-96 precursor